AAUAAGUGUAAUUUUACACUAUUCAUCUCCAACGUUUGACCAUUCGUUUUAUUUGAAAUUUUUUAUGAUUACUAUUUUUAUUGUUAUUAGAUGAUAAAACAUGAAUAGUACUUUAUGUGUGACUAAAUUUUUUUAAAUUUUUCAUAAAUUUUUCAAAUAAGACGGACGGUCAAACGUUGGACACGGAUUUCUAUGGCUGCACUUAUU
rnacentral:pre_miRNA from 1 species